GACGAACGCUGGCGGCGUGCCUAAUACAUGCAAGUAGAACGCACAGUUUAUACCGUAGCUUGCUACACCAUAGACUGUGAGUUGCGAACGGGUGAGUAACGCGUAGGUAACCUGCCUGGUAGCGGGGGAUAACUAUUGGAAACGAUAGCUAAUACCGCAUAAUAUUAAUUAUUGCAUGAUAAUUAAUUGAAAGGUGCAAUUGCACCACUACCAGAUGGACCUGCGUUGUAUUAGCUAGUAGGUGAGGUAACGGCUCACCUAGGCGACGAUACAUAGCCGACCUGAGAGGGUGAUCGGCCACACUGGGACUGAGACACGGCCCAGACUUCUACGGGAGGCAGCAGUAGGGAAUCUUCGGCAAUAGACGAAAGUCUGACCGAGCAACGCCGCGUGAGUGAAGAAGGUUUUCGGAUCGUAAAGCUGUGUUGUAAGAGAAGAACGGGUGUGAGAGUGGAAAGUUCACACUGUGACGGUAUCUUACCAGAAAGGGACGGCUAACUACGUG
rnacentral:rRNA from 1 species